rnacentral:rRNA from 1 species
AGCCUACGGGACGCAGCAGUGGGGAAUUUUGCGCAAUGGGGGAAACCCUGACGCAGCAACGCCGCGUGCGGGAUGACGGCCUUCGGGUUGUAAACCGCUUUCAGUAGGGACGAAUUUUGACGGUACCUACAGAAGAAGCCCCGGCUAACUACGUGCCAGCAGCCGCGGUAAUACGUAUGGGGCAAGCGUUAUCCGGAUUUACUGGGUGUAAAGGGAGCGUAGGCGGCCUGGCAAGCCUGAUGUGAAAUACCGGGGCCCAACCCAGGGGCUGCAUUGGGAACUGUCAGGCUGGAGUGCCG